UUGAAACUGGACUAUAGGUCUACAGACAGUAGCAACUGCGCGACUUUAGAUCAUUGGAACAUUCACCAAAAGCCACAAAAUACACCUGAAUGGAUUUCUGCAAAUAUGUAAAUACCACAGGAAUCCUUUUACAUUUGGGAACUUCACAUUCUUAUUGAUCAAACAACCAUGAAAAGCUUUGAUGCUCUGUAGCCUGGUGUUGUAGCCAAGGAGCGUUCGGACUGUCGGGACCAGGUUUCAGCUGCUGCGCAACGCUGACAUCCUUCCUCCCAUAGAUGGUCUGCCUGUACAAGCACCACCUGGACUGAACACAGCUAGACAAAUGUAUGUUUCUGAGAAGAUCAGGGAGAUUUGCAACGAAGAGGAUCUGGACAUCACAUGCCCUGCACCAAAAUCAAGGGCAGGACAGAAACAGGCUCUCCGAAUAUAGAUUCCCUUGUUCAUGCGUGGUUCGGACAGACCAGUCAUCAGCACUAUCUGCAGUGCCUCUAUUCAAAUAAUUAUCACCUAAUACACACAGCAUACGUUGCUGCUACUAUUUAUUUUUUUAUCCUGCUGCUCAGCCAUUUUACCCCUGAUUGUAUGUAUAUAUAUAUAACUACCUCAUCUAUCAUUGAUACUGAUAUUGUUCUUGUACAUACUGUAUAUUAUUUUAUUUAUGUUGACCCUAUCUAUUUAUGAUAUUGCUACUAUGCAAGUAACCAUUUGGCUGUACUGUUUACACCUUCUGUAGAGACCCAUGCACUUUGCAAGAUGUGGCUGGGGGUUAUAGCAUUUCUUUCACAUGACCCAUCAAUUUAGACAAGUGUGUCUGGGUAAGUGUCAUCUAAUAUUUAUAAAAUAUUUCUGUUUA